rnacentral:misc_RNA from 1 species
GUGAAUCAUCGAAUUUUUGAACGCAACUUGCACUUUCUGGUAUUCCGGAAAGUAUGCCUGUUUGAGGGUCAGGUAAAUAAAAAUCGGUGGUGUUGCUGCCUUUCGUGGUGACUCGUCGGAAUUGCGUUUUCUUACGUUCGGUUAAGCUGCUUAAAAUUUUUGCAUGAUUUUCGAACGUAUUUA